rnacentral:rRNA from 1 species
CGGAGGGUCCAAGCGUUAUCCGGAAUCAGUUGGGUUUAAAGGGUCCGUAGGCGGUUUUGUAAGUCAGUGGUGAAAGCCCAUCGCUCAACGGUGGAACGGCCAUUGAUACUGCAAGACUUGAAUUGUUGGGAAGUAACUAGAAUAUGUAGUGUAGCGGUGAAAUGCUUAGAGAUUACAUGGAAUACCAAUUGCGAAGGCAGGUUACUACCAACACAUUGACGCUGAUGGACGAAAGCGUGGGGAGCGAACAGGAUUAGAUACCCUGGUAGUCCACGCCGUAAACGAUGGAUACUAGCUGUUCGGAGCAAUCUGAGUGGCUAAGCGAAAGUGAUAAGUAUCCCACCUGGGGAGUACGUUCGCAAGAAUG